rnacentral:rRNA from 1 species
AUACGUAGGUGGCAAGCGUUGUCCGGAUUUACUGGGUGUAAAGGGCGUGUAGGCGGAGAUGCAAGUCAGGAGUGAAAUCUAGGGGCUCAACCCCUAAACUGCUUUUGAAACUGUAUCCCUUGAGUAUCGGAGAGGCAGGCGGACUUCCCACUGUAGCGGUGAAAUGCGUAGAUAUUAGGAGGAACACCAGUGGCGAAGGGGGCCUGCUGGACGACAACUGACGCUGAGGCGCGAAAGCGUGGGGAGCAAACAGGAUGAGAUACCCUGGUAGUCCACGCUGUAAACGAUGAAUACUAGGUGUGGGGGGACUGACCCCCUCCGUGCCGCAGUUAACACAAUAAGUAUUCCACCUGGGGAGUACGAUCGCAAGAUUGAAACUUAAAGGAAUUGGCGGGG